GAUGAACGCUGGCGGCGUGCCUAAUACAUGCAAGUCGAGCGAACAGACGAGGAGCUUGCUCCUCUGACGUUAGCGGCGGACGGGUGAGUAACACGUGGAUAACCUACCUAUAAGACUGGGAUAACUUCGGGAAACCGGAGCUAAUACCGGAUAAUAUAUUGAACCGCAUGGUUCAAUAGUGAAAGACGGUUUUGCUGUCACUUAUAGAUGGAUCCGCGCCGCAUUAGCUAGUUGGUAGGGUAACGGCUUACCAAGGCAACGAUGCGUAGCCGACCUGAGAGGGUGAUCGGCCACCCGGGAACGGGGACACGGUCCAGACUCCUACGAGAGGCAGCAGUAGGGAAUCUUCCGCAAUGGGCGAAAGCCUGACGGAGCAACGCCGCGUGAGUGAUGAAGGUCUUCGGAUCGUAAAACUCUGUUAUUAGGGAAGAACAAAUGUGUAAGUAACUAUGCACGUCUUGACGGUACCUAAUCAGAAAGCCACGGCUAACUGCGUG
rnacentral:rRNA from 1 species